rnacentral:lncRNA from 1 species
UCAAGUUAGUAGCAGGCACCCACCUGGAGAACGAGGGAAGUCAUUUCAGAAUCCAAUUUAAGUUAGAAGUAGAAGAAUCUUGCUCAAGAAUGCGAGUCAACAGUCUAAGAUUAUCAGCAGAAGUAAUUUCAAUCCAGAAUAAAAAAGAAAAAAAAGGAAGUGAAUCCAAAAUGCAAAAACUAAGAUAAGAGGUGGAUUGCUCAAGACAUGACUAAAGUCACAAGCAUGGUGUGCCCGAUUUUUAUCUGAAAAGCUAAAGAUGAAUGAACUAGCACCUGCAGCUAGCGAGUGUCAAGGUUCAAAUCUAAAGUUUGCGUGAAGAAUCAUUCAAGACACAAAAUCAAGCUUCAGAAUACUUAUAAAUAGGAAUCUUGUAACUCAUAGUUGACAGGUUUAGUUAGUCAUUUUCAUUUUUUAGUUUUGAUGUAAUAACAGGACCGCGAACCGGAACCUCAACGGAAUGACACCUCAAUUGAAUCUCCACCUCAGUAAACUCUAUCACUGCUCGUACUUCUAAACAACAGGUGGCCUGAUUCCUUUAUAGCCAAGGAUAUGCAGGCAGCUCCGAUAUGAGGGCUCGAUCACAAUCUCUUGUCCAUCUUUGUUUCGUUUUGAAUAAGCCUCGAGUCAUAAAUCAAUUAUGUUGAUUAUUGUUCUUUGCUCGGAAAACUCUUCGUGUUUACGAGUAAAGAGGGUCAGCUGUAAGCACAUAAUUUUUGGCACGUGCAACUUUUAAAAAUAGUAUUUUUUUAAAAAUAAUUUACUUAUUAAUACUUUAGUAGGAUUUAGCCUACUUUUCACUCUUAGUCUAAUAGUAGAACAUAAAAUUCGAAAUAUUUAUCUUUUAUCUUUCCAUUUAAGUUAAGGCUAUUAGUCUUUUAUAGUAAUAUUAAUCUAAGUUUGCUAUCAUUCUGAUUAACUUUUUUCUAAUUUCAUUUUUAUAUAUAAUUUUUGAAAAAUGAUGGUUUCAUAUAAAUAUAAAUUUUAUGUUAGUUAAAGUCAAUUACUAAUAUUCUAUUAGUAUUUUGCUAUUGAUUUUUAGUCUUUGGGACCAAUUUGGAAGCCCAACAAGGCCUAGCCCAUUACCCCCUUCUUCUUUAACCCUUCCCUAAACCUUCUUCUUCAACAUGGGAAUAAAAAAAAACCUAGAAUUCUAAGAGCAGACAUAGCCGUUCCCUGGACCAUAACUGUCGGGAAUCAGCAACCUACCUGCCAGCGACUCCUUCAACAUUAACCAACGACCUUGGCUCUUUUCCAACCAAACCAACACUCAAAAUCCCCACAACCACUAUCGCUGCUCCCCCUACCACCAAAGACGACUUUUCUCCAAUCAUCUCUAGCCUCACUAGUACACCGCCGGCUGAUCUCAACUAGCCGACGACCACCAGCCUCUAACACGCCGCACAUAGUCAUCUUCUCCAAAACAGCCACCGCCGGAACUCCAAGAACCCUAGACAGUCGUCCAUUGCCAAACACAUCAAACAACCAACCUCAAUGCUCCCUCCUCCCAUUAGUGACCUCGUCACUCCAAACGACCACCCUCAAAUGAUCACGACCCACGUCAUCUCCAACUGCCAAAUCUCGCCGGAUUCAAUUGUGUAGAAAUGGCAAAAACAGUUAAAAAACAAUUGAAAGAAAAAUAGGAAAAUUUUUUUUUUUAAAAAAAAGAAAAAUUCUACUUAUUAACUUUUCGAUUCAGGAAUUUUGUUCAAGGAUAGGUUUUUAUUAAAAUGUGGGUCUAAAUCUGUGUUUGGUUGGGUCUUUGGUGACGAUCUGAGACUCCGACCGAUUUUGCAGCUUCUCGAUCCAGUUCGGCUUAUUGUUUGGUAAGAUUGGGUCCGUCGAGUUUCGAUUCCGGUCCCUGUCAUACUAUUGUAAUUGCUUGAGUUUCGCUCUAACUUCCCUCUUUGUUGCUAUAUUAUGUUACAUGUUCCUCUUUGUUGCUACAUUCUAUUACACGUUAAAGUGGUGCAUUUUCUUUAAAUUUUACUGUUUCGAUGAUAUUUAAUGGUGUUAGCAUGUGUUAAAUUUUAUUUAUAUGUGAUAUUUAGGAUCGGGUACUUCAAUCAAAAGUGAAAUUAGAGCAUCAAUUUUUGUUUAUUUUCAUUUUACUGCUUUGAUUGUUAGGAGCAUGUUUUAGACCGACCACACCUGGGUAAGCAAACUUUAGGAUUUAUGUCAAUUUUGAGGUGAGAUUUCGUUCCUUUGGUAAAAUUUAUCCGGUAAAUUGACCCGAAGAAUUUGUAUAUAUUUUAUUCUGGGUAAUGCCCCAUAGUACUUUGUAAUUGGAAGUAGUGACGAACACCGUAGAAAAGUCGCAUAGGACAAUUUAGAACUUUAAGUUUCCUUCUUUUAAUUUUCUUUCACUUAGGUGUAGAUGACCUCGAUGCUCUUUUGCGUUUGUGUCACACCCAUUUUUAUUAACCAAACUUUCUCUUAACCCUCUUAAAUAAAUAAUAAAAGGAUUUUAGUAAAGCUUGAAAAAGAUUUUCAAUUUUGAAAGUGACAAAAAUUUGUCUCAAAAGGAAAAUAACUGACAGUCGCCACCUGGCAUUUGAUUUCAGUGUGCCAGGUUACCAUUUUUUAAAAAUAUUUCCCUUUUAAAAUACUUGGACUCAAAACUAAGUUCGCACCAGAGAUUCAGGUAAGGGGGUUCAUUUGACUCGGGGAGAAGGUGUUAGGCACUCCCCAAGUCCCAUAACUAGUACGGUUGCAUACUCGAUUUAGUUGGCUUUUAAAAUAUUCGAAUUGAGAAACAAACACAGAAAAGAAAAACAGACACAAGAGGUUCGAGGUCGUUCCCACCUAAUAAAAGGAAAAUAGAACUACAACUAAAAUUACUACCAGCUUCACUUUAGGCCUCCAAAUACAAGUACUUCGGGGGAUUCCCCGGAAUAAAAUAUACACAGGUCUUUCGGGGCAUUCCCCAGAUAAAUUCAACUAAGGGAACGACCUUUUACCUCACAAUUAAAAGCGAACAAAUAGAAAAAUCAUAAGAUUGCGUACCUAAGUGUGAUCAACCUAAACAUACUUUUAGCGGGCCAAUUAGCAAAUGCAAAAUAAGUAAAUAAUAAAAGAAAUAACACAAAUCAACUUAAGCUCAAAACAUUUUAAUUUGUAAUUAUCAACAGUACCCAAUAUGUCAUGUGAAUCCCAAACACUUUUUAAUGUUAAAUCCAAAUAAAUCUCCCAUUGUCCGCAAACAAAUUUAACCCAUGAUACUCUAUUUCUUACAAUUUAACCUCAAACUUAUUUUAGUUCAUUAAGGCAGUAAAAUCAUGUUCAAAUGCAAACAAUUCGAGUAACAUACGAGCAGUGAACAAAUUCAAAAUUAUGGAAAAUAAUUAAAUAAAUCACAAGAUCAAACUACCAAGCAAACAAUCAACAUUAUGCUAGAAUAAAAUGAGUAGAGGAUCGAAGAAUCGAACCACAGUUAAAGCAAAAAUCCUUUUGAUGUUAAUUAGAUCUAAGCUGAAUGUGCUUCUCGAACUCGAAUUGAAACUUGAUAAGCUUUCAAUAUUAUGUCCCUGCACCUCGACGUAUGACCUCCUCCUCUAAACCCCAGAACUUUCUUUUUUUUUUAAUCUCAAUUUCUGUCUGAAGCCGCCCAGAUUCCCCUCAUCUUUGUGUAUGUAUUGUGGUCGCCGGGAUUGGAGAUGGACGUUUGGAGUGAGGUUAACGCUGGUGGCUUAAAGAAGAGGUGAAUUCGCGUGGGUGGUCGUUCAUGGCGAAGAAGUAGAAGAAAAAGAGACGAGGGAGAGUAGCGGUUGUUGCUGUUGUAUUUUACGACGGGUUUGGGUGGUGGCCGCCGUUAGGCUACUGGUGGUUAAGGUCGGCUAGUGGUGAGUUUGUUGAUGGUCGAAGAUGGAAGAUGAAGAAGAUGCGGGCUAGGGUUCAGGGGUGUGUUUUUCCGACGGGUUUUGGGUUACGGUUGUGCAGCAGCGGCGUAGGGUAGUCGGCGACUGAAGGCUGGGUGUUGUAAAGCCGGCCGAGCUAUGGUGUUGGGGGUCUGCUAGGUUAGGUUUAGUUCCAUGUCUUUUCCAUCGUUGUGUGUAGGGUUUCCAGGUUAAGGUUUUCUUUGUCCUCUAAUGAAGAAGAUGAAAAAAAAUGUUGUUCCCCCUUCCU